rnacentral:rRNA from 1 species
GGAAAGAAAUCCUUGAUUCUAAUACAGUCGGGGGAUGACGGUACCGGAAGAAUAAGCACCGGCUAACUACGUGCCAGCAGCCGCGGUAAUACGUAGGGUGCGAGCGUUAAUCGGAAUUACUGGGCGUAAAGCGUGCGCAGGCGGUUUGCUAAGACCGAUGUGAAAUCCCCGGGCUCAACCUGGGAACUGCAUUGGUGACUGGCAGGCUAGAGUAUGGCAGAGGGGGGUAGAAUUCCACGUGUAGCAGUGAAAUGCGUAGAGAUGUGGAGGAAUACCGAUGGCGAAGGCAGCCCCCUGGGCCAAUACUGACGCUCAUGCACGAAAGCGUGGGGAGCAAACAGGAUUAGAUACCCUGGUAGUCCACGCCCUAAACGAUGUCAACUAGUUGUUGGGGAUUCAUUUCCUUA